UUUGCGGUGACUUAGUUUUUUAUGGCUGAGAAAUAUAAGCAUUAAAUUUUUAAUUUAAGGACGAGGUUAUUCCUC
rnacentral:tRNA from 1 species